GCGACGAGGAGACGCGGCCGGCUCCCCUCGACGUGUGCUGGAUCGGCCGGCCCGCCCGACGAGCAGGAUAAGGGGGGCAAUGCUGGAUCGGGCAUGACCGUGAAUCUCGAGUGUUCAAGAUUCCGUGUGCCGCGGCCUCCGAUGGCCAAGGGACACAAAUGUUCUUUACCAAUUUGCUGCUCUGCCUUGCAGAUGGCCAGUUGCUAGAUUGACCCAUUGAUUAUGGGGAGUACGUACCUGACAUGUCAAAGAAUUUCUCACAAGUAAUUAGCCAGCCAAUCGGAUCCUCUCCACUGAAUAAUGGAAUUUCCAGUCUAGGCCCUCUCAAUGUAGCUUCAGCAAAAUAUGAAGGUCCUCCUAACUGAGUUGCAUGCUGGUUCCUUUGUGCAUCAUAUAAUUGUCCAGCAGCUUGGUACACCUGGGGCUGCAUUUGACUGGUUGGAGCAGUAUCUAUGAACUGCCCUGUGAUUGUGUUGUAGGUGUCGGGAGGGACAUAAACAGGAGCUGACAAAGGGGAAUAAUGCCCACUGUUACCUGUAAAACCCAUGGCCUGUGCCCUUGUCAUUUUUGCUAAUUUCCUGUGGGGCCAUUCAAAAUUGUGGAUGUUCAGGCAAUGGAUGUUGCCUGACUGUGGUAGUGUGAGUACUGUCAGUAAACAAAUUCAUAUUCACUGAGGGCAUGCUAGUUGUGGCCCCUGGGAUAUGUAUGCUAGGAGCAGAACUCUGUAACUCAAAGGCUGCGUUCAAAUUAUUUGUAACAGUA